rnacentral:rRNA from 1 species
UGGGGAAUCUUCCGCAAUGGACGAAAGUCUGACGGAGCAACGCCGCGUGAGUGAAGAAGGCCUUCGGGUUGUAAAGCUCUGUCUUUGGGGACGAACGUGCCUAUCAUAAAUAAUGAUAGGUAAUGACGGUACCUGAGGAGGAAGCCACGGCUAACUACGUGCCAGCAGCCGCGGUAAUACGUAGGUGGCAAGCGUUGUCCGGAAUUAUUGGGCGUAAAGCGCGCGCAGGCGGGAUAUCAAGUCUAUCUUAAAAGUUCGGGGCUCAACCCCGUGAUGGGAUGGAAACUGGUAUUCUUGAGUGUCGGAGAGGAAAGUGGAAUUCCCAGUGUAGCGGUGAAAUGCGUAGAUAUUGGGAGGAACACCAGUGGCGAAGGCGACUUUCUGGACGAUGUCUGACGCUGAGGCGCGAAAGCCAGGGGAGUGAACG